GGUGCCCUCUCCCAGGGCAUGUGUGCUGUUAUUGCUGAGUCCAAACUGGGAGCAACCCUGUCUGGCUACAGGCCACAAAUGCCUGGCAGUGUGAGCAGCUGGGUGAAGGAGACAGCAGGAGGUAGCAGUGGGACACCUGCAGGGACUGACCUGGUGGCAGUGCCACUUGGUGAGAGCGGGUAGGAGACACUGGGAUCCUCCUUUAGGGGGCUCUCAGACCUGCUCUGUCAAAAGCAGGUGCCUAAGCUGAGACUCUGGCCAGGAUCUGGCAAAAUCCCAGCAAUGAGGAUGGGACCUCAGCUGCCUGGAGCUAAGUGCCAAUGAAAUCUAAUCUGCCAGGGUUGUUUUCAGGACUUUGAGUAUGAAGCAGAUGGACCACAGCACUGAAAGCAGAGAGCCUAAUUAGAACAUGAGCAAAAGAAAACAAAGUUACCCCCAAGAGCCCCAGAAGAAAGUUUUUCCUCAACCAAUAAACUGCUGACAAGAUCCAGCAACAACAAAAUAUGCAGCAAUCUUCAGGCUUUCUGAGUGGAAGGCACUUAACAAAGGAGUAUAAUUCAAAGUAAUUGUACAAUUAUUUCUGGAAGUAUUUUGACAUUUGCAGCCAAUUGCAGUUUAAUAGACUAAGCUAACAGAAACAGAACUGUUCUUUUGCAUAUGGUAAUGACUCAUUGUUUAGAAGCAAUCUGGUGCCUAUAAUGCAGUUUUGUGACAGCUCUAUGUGGUAUCAACACCAGAUCGUGUUUGGAUGGUAGGAACAAGCCAUGUACUCACUCGUGCGUCAGCAGUGGCACAUCGCUCUUCCCUUCUCUGGUUGUGACAACAUCACGUUUGAUGCCAAACACUUUUCCAUAACUGUCUUUGGCCA